AAAAGAAAAGUCAAGAUGUGAAUAAGUUUGCUGGUGUUUACUCCAUGAGAACAGUCAUGGGAAAAAACACAAACCCUUUUCAUACUCAUGGUGGAACAAUUAAUCCAACAAAGAAGUUACUUAGCAAGAUUCAACGAGAUGAAACUAAAGUUUCAAAAAGACCUUUACUUGUCGAGUUGCACACAUUUCCUGGCUUCAACAAAACAAAAUUAACACCUUUGC